rnacentral:rRNA from 1 species
AUUGAACGCUGGCGGCAGGCCUAACACAUGCAAGUCGAACGAGUGGCGGACGGGUGAGUAAUGUCUGGGAAACUGCCUGAUGGAGGGGGCUAACUACUGGAAACGGUAGCUAAUACCGCAUACCAUCAGAUUUGCCCAGAUGGGAUUAGCGAGUUGGUGGGGUAACGGCUCACAAAGGCGACGAUCCCUAGCUGGUCUGAGAGGAUGACCGGCCACACUGGAACUGAGACACGGUCCAGACUCCUACGGGAGGCAGCAGUGGGGAAUAUUGCACAAUGGGCGCAAGCCUGAGACAGCAAUGCCGCGUGUAUGAAGAAGGCUUUCGGGUUGUAAAGUACUGUCAGUGGGGAGGCGGUACCCGAAGAGGAAGCACCGGCUAACUCCGUGCCAGCAGCCGCGGUAAUAC